GGAGAGGUAGCCUAGUCUGGCCUAAGGCGCGCGCCUGGAGAGCGCGUGGGCAGCAAUGCCCCGUGGGUUCGAAUCCCACCCUCUCCGCCU
rnacentral:tRNA from 1 species